GGUUCAUACCCAUUUGAUUCCACAACAUUCGCUGCGCUUGUAUCAUGCUCUCCAACAAAAGGUGGCCGUCCACUGGGGGAAUUGGAAGCUGGCAAGUGUCCACUGGUGCCGCUUUGCCCCAGAAGACGAUCGUGAGGGUCAUAGGCAUCGCCAUUCAAACUUGACGAAAUAGACGACGAAUCGGUAUCACUAUUUUCGUAAAAGCCACCCUGGAGCCUCACUCCAUCAGCUCUAACCGUCGCAGUAGCAUCAUCGCUAUUAUCGAGAGCGUUGCCCGCUCCACUCGACGCUACAUUUCCACGUAAAGCAGAAUGAGGGGAGAAGCUUUCAAGAGAGCUCAUUCAAAAAACCGAGAUGCCAGUCCAAUCCCUCAAGAUCCAAGUCGCCAGCAUCGGGCAAGAGUAUUCAUGUGCCACGGAAAGUCACCUAGGUGACUCAUUUCUUUGCUGCUUUUGUGAGGGAUUUAAAUAAGCGACAAGGGGGAAUUAAAAAUAUAAAAAAGCAAAAAUAAAAGCGGAGAAAUAUCACCGCCAUUGCCGAUGAGCCUAUCCCCAGACGCAGGCAGGAGGAAUUCAAGGUUAACCAGACUCCGCUAAAAGCGCCACCCGAGAGCAUUAUAAAUAUUGCCUGACUUGGUUAGUUAGUUAAUUAUAUCAUCGAAACCAUUUCGUCAUAAUUAGGUCAUGUCGAUAAAAACUAAGUUAGCGUCCAUGGCCAGUGUGAUUUCACAGCCCACGACAUGCUAAAUUGAUUUGAGCCUGGAAUCUAGCUACCAAAUCGGUGUAGACUGGGAUAUGAUUGACAUACCAUGGCGCUCAAAAAAUCUCAUCAGCAGGGAAAGAAGUUAGCUAAAACGAGCAAGCACACGACAGCCCUCUAGAGAUAUCUAGGUUCAAUAUACGUCCACCUAACAACCAAUCAUAUCUAUGAAUAUCCGUUUAAAGAAAAGCUGAAUAAAAUAUUUUACGAACCCAGCGUGCUGUGUUCGGGAGACUAACGGCGGAGAGAAUAUUCAACGUAUGAACCAACAUAUAACGAAGAUGCGUCCUUGGAACAACACUAAUACUUUGGAUACCCCCAACUCACCGAAACAAUCCCACCAUUCCCAUCCUAGACACUGAGAUAGUUUCCCACCCCAGCACACUUCAUCGUCACAAGCAGGAAUGCAUCUCACGAUAGGAAUGAACCCUCAACGCUUACUCUUCACCGUCUGUCCGCACUCCCAAGACUCUCCCGCUUCUAACGUCUGCCACCCCAUCACAGAACCCGCCUCAACACAUAUCAUAUUCUUAUAGCCGUCAUCAGGGGCGAAAUCGGCCAUUCCUUUCGCCUUCUCGAUCCAAGGAUUCCAGACCACGAUGUCAUUAAGAGAUUCGCGGUAGAUGGAGAAAACGGGGUUGUUGUCGUCGUCUGCGACGACGAUUGGAACUGUUGGGUUAAGAGAUUGAUAGACCCGAUCUAUUUCUUGGGUGAUUGCAAGGGCCGGGGAAGAUUCGACGUGGGUUGAUGCGUUGAGAAUUUUGUCGACGUAUGUUUUGGAUUGGAGGUUUAGAAUGCGGAUUUUUGUGAUGUCCUUUGGCACAAUUUUAGCCAAAAUAGCUUCGCGUGAUCACGCUGGGGUGGUUAAAGGUUUGGCAGAUAGUUGUAAUACAGCCGAUAGAGGUUUAAAAAAAAAAGUGUGACCACAACAUACCUCAACCUUGAAGUACGAAUGGAGCAGAACCUGAAACUCAAAUGGUUGUGAUCCCUUAUUCUGGACCUGCAGGGACGUUCCCAGACUGCCCUUGCUCAACGUGACACUGUACACCAGUCCAAAAUCAUUCGGCCAAUCGCUUUUGAAUUUGUCACUCAACAUGCCUGCUGACAAGCCAAAGUCAAGCUUAACACUGCUAUCGCCAUUCUGUCCCUCCGAUUCCGAAGUUGAUUUCCCCAGGAAUUCCCAAUAUGAGUUACGAGCAAAUCCGUGCUGGGGAAGCGCGGAAGUCGCAUGGUCCUUAGGCGGGGGGCCGAAAACCUGUAAUUUGUUGUAUAAAGCGUGGAAGUCAGCAAUUUUGCAAAUUCAAUUGGGGUGCCGUUUGGCUUGACAGCGCGUCUCUGUACGAUUGAAGUCAUACAAAUGUAUAAUCAAUGGUGAGCGGAAUUGAAGAUCUGGGUGUCACGAACAGGAAAAACCAACGGGAUACCCCCACGGAUGGGUUUAGAGCCAUCCAAAACGGCUUUUUUGCUCAGAAAUAGCUGCUCGUCGCCAUUGGCAAGUUUCCAUGACACGACUGUGGCUCCCAAAAGAUUGACGAUGACGGAGUCGCC
rnacentral:sRNA from 1 species